AAUACAAUUCCCAGAAAAUAAAAACAUGAGAGAAUAUAUCUCCACCCAACCUGUCCUACAAGAAAUGCUAAAGGCAGUUCCUUAAGAUGAAACAUAUUGCCAUGAGAUGAAUGGUAUUGCACUAUCACCUGCUUUUACCAUUGCCGUGCUGCCACAAACUCAAAUGAAUAGGAUCAAUCAGCUGUAGACUGAAACCUCUGAAAACUUGGGAAAUUUGUACUCCCCCAGGCGCAUGGAACACAAGAGGAACUUGAGGAGGCAUUCCUGGGUGACUCUGCACAAGCAAGGAGGACACAGUGGUUGUGUCUCAAGACCACUCAUGACAG